rnacentral:rRNA from 1 species
AUGUGAUCGUCUCUCGCAUAUCAAUAAGCGGAGGAAAAGAAACUAACAAGGAUUCCCCUAGUAACGGCGAGUGAAGCGGGAAGAGCUCAAAUUUGAAAUCUUAAAGGGUUUCCCUUUACGAAUUGUAGUUUAAAGAAGUGUUUUCUGUUGAGGUUUUGGUAAAAGUUCUUUGGAAUAGGACAUCAUAGAGGGUGAGAAUCCCGUAUUUGACCUUUACUUUCAACUUUGUGAUACACUUUCAAAGAGUCGGAUUGUUUGGGAAUGCAGUCCAAAAUGGGUGGUAAAUUUCAUCUAAAGCUAGAUAUUGGCGAGAGACCGAUAGCGAACAAGUACCGUGAGGGAAAGAUGAAAAGAACUUUGAAAAGAGAGUUAAACAGUACGUGAAAUUGUCAAAAGGGAAGCGUUUGACACCAGUGUUGUUUUUCUGAAAAUCAAUUAAAGAACUGUUUAUGCUAAGCUGUUUAGACUUUAUCAGCUAAUCUGUUUAGUUUUGAGCUUUUCUUUAAUGCACUUUUCAGUUAACAAGUCAACAUCAAUUUCUUUUGCUGUAAAAAAGCUUGAGGAAGGUGGCUUGAGAUUCGUCUUAAGUGUUUAUAGCCUCUUGCCUAUGCAGUCGGAGAGAUUGAGGUCUGCAGCGUAGAUCCUUCGGGGCUAAAUGCAUUUGUGCUAAGUUAUAGCAUUUUAUAGACAACUUGUUGACUAUGAUUUGUCUUGUAGCUUACUCGCUUAUGUUAUUUUACCUACGCUUAGGAUGUUGAAGACUCUACAGAGAUA